GUGUCAGCCGCCGCGGUAAUACGGAGGGAGCUAGCGUUGUUCGGAAUUACUGGGCGUAAAGAGUACGUAGGCGGUGAUUCAAGUCAGAGGUGAAAGCCUGGAGCUCAACUCCAGAACUGCCUUUGAAACUAGAUCGCUAGAAUUAUGGAGAGGUUAGUGGAAUUCCGAGUGUAGAGGUGAAAUUCGUAGAUAUUCGGAAGAACACCAGUGACGAAGGCGACUAACUGGACAUAUAUUGACGCUGAGGUACGAAAGCGUGGGGAGCAAACAGGAUUAGAUACCCCCGUAGUCC
rnacentral:rRNA from 1 species